rnacentral:tRNA from 1 species
GCAUUGGUAGCUCAGUGGUAGAAUUCUCACCUUCCACACGGGAGACCCAGGUUUGAUUCCUGGCCAGUGUA